rnacentral:rRNA from 1 species
GAGUUUGAUCCUGGCUCAAAACGAACGCUGGCAGGGUGGAUUAGGCAUGCAAGUCGAACGGGAAGCUUUGGAUUCAAGUUUUCGGACGAGAAACUGAAGUGGAGAGUGGCGAAAGGGUGAGUAACGCGUGGGUAACCUACCUCAAAGUUUGGGACAACCAGCCGAAAGGCUGGCUAAUACCGGAUGUGGUCUCCUGGCGCAUGUCAGGAUGAUUAAAGAUGGGGAUUCUUCGGAACCUGUCUCUUUGAGAGGGGCCCGCGUACCAUCAGCUUGUUGGUAGGGUAAUGGCCUACCAAGGCUUACGGUUAGCCGGCCUGAGAGGGUGAUCGGCUACACUGGGACUGAGACACUGCCCAGACUCCUACGGGAGGCUGCAGUCGAGGAUCAUUGACAAUGCGGGAAACCGUGAUCAUGCGACGCUGCGUGGAGGAUGACGGCCUUAGGGUUGUAAACUCCUGUCAUUCGGGAAAAAUAACGCGAGGAUUAAUACCCCUUGUGAUUGAUGUUACCGGAAGAGGAAGCCACGGCUAACUCUGUGCCAGCAGCCGCGGUAAUACAGAGGUGGCGAGCGUUGUUCGGAUUUACUGGGCGUAAAGCGUGCGUAGGUGGUUUCGUAUGUCGGAUGUGAAAGCCCACAGCUCAACUGUGGAAUUGCAUCCGAAACUGCGAUGCUAGAGUGCAGGAUGGGAGAGCGGAAUUCUUGGUGUAGUGGUGAAAUGCGUUGAUAUCAAGAAGAACACCGGUGGCGAAGGCGGCUCUCUGGAAUGCUACUGACACUGAGGCACGAAAGUUGGGGUAGCAAACAGGAUUAGAUACCCUGGUAGUC